rnacentral:lncRNA from 10 species
GGUCGCAGGUGGAUUUCUCCAGUGAUGGUGCAGAUGGAAGAAGUGCUGAACACAGGGCACCCCUGGGGUCCUUCCACCCAGGGCCCGGCGCUUGGCCCUGUGCUUGCAGAUCUGCGGCAGGCAGAGCUGAGAGCAGGCAAAGACAAGUCACCACUGUGCUUGGGCAUCCUGCCCACCAGCCCCACCGGGCAGCCAGAGCUCCACAUGGUUUCCAUCAUGGUUACAAAAUAAACAAAUGCAAGUCACUCUGUCCCUUCUGUGGCCCCCCACAGCCCGACAUCUGCACAUCUGCGAGAACAUUCUCUCGUCAUUAGAGAGAUGCCACUUGGGGAUCUCAGAAGCCAUGUGGGGAAGACAGAAACCUUCAGCUCUAGUUCAGGAACAUUAAACACACCAUGCUAUCCCAGUUUGUUCAUAAAAUUCUUGUGUUAAUGUCCUAGGGGAAACAAAAAGGAUAGCUAUUUUAGCAGCAUUCUCUAGUUUGGUUGGGAUUCUGUGUGGAGAAGAGCUCUGUUUUCCUUCUGGCUGCAAUGUCUUGAUUCUCUGGGUCUUUGUGGUUCUCCCUGCAUGGCCCUGCCGGGCUCUGGUGAGGGAAGAUAAGAGUGUGCUCCAAGGCUGGCGAGGCUGGGGUUUUCGUCUGCACCUGGUGAAAGGACUGGCUCCUACAUCACCAGCUUCCCUCUGAAUAUUUUCAGAAUUCUCCUGGGAACAGUGGUGGACAACAAAAGCCUUCUGAAAGAGGUCCUCUGGCACCCCUUAUGCCAUUCCCCUGGUGUUACCUUUUGUGAUUUUCAAAUGAAAGGGCAAAGAAGUGAGGAGUAGAUGAGCCGGGAACAAAACUGGCGCUGCCCGCAGACAGUCAUGCUUUCAUUUCAGGUCUCUUUCCCACUGAGCACUGUGAACCCAGGUGGCCUCUGCCAAACCCCUUUGUCAACAUUGUGACAGUAGAGUCAAUAGGGUCAUAACAUUGGGACACAUUUAUUGGAGGGAGAGAAGAAAUGUGACAGGGAAAUGGUCUAGAAGAUUCCUUCACAAGUCAGCUGUUAUGUCACGGGUCCCCAUGCAGCUCCCUGGGGAAGGGGCGAUGAGGGAUGAACCGUGCCACUCUGACUGGCCUACACCUAGCAAAUGCUGCUCAGGCCAGGGUGGCCCAUCUACUGGCUAAUGUAUGACCUGUGAUCUACAGUGGCUGUCUUAUAAUCUGUGCCAGUUCCAUUUCUCCUGCAGGGGCUUUGCACUCAGAAGCAAGGAGGAGGGAGGGGGCUGGGGGCGGGAAGUAAAAGGUGAGAGACUGCCCCCUCAGUGGAAGUGCCUAGGCCUCUACCCUGAGAGCAGUAGCCAUGUCUGGGUCCUCCUCCUCUCACUGCCCACCAGCCUGAGGGCUGGCCUGCUGUCUGGGCCCCAGGAAAAAUGAGAAUCACCCCACGGUGAAGCCGGGAGAAGCAGAGAGGGCUGGGAGCUGCCCCAGAGCCUGGCCCCUGCCAGCCUCACAGUGAGGCAGCCUCCAGGCACCACCUCCCUGCUCCUGGCAUCCCCUUCCCUCCUUCCUAAGCGCCCAGGGCCCAGUGUUCAUUCGGCCUCACAGGUGGAGCACCCAGGGCCCUUUAACUCUUCAGGCCCCUCAGAAAUGAGAUGAAGACAAAAUUUACUGGCUCCGAAAUAGAACGUUUCAAAAUUGCUUUUUCAAUGCUUUUUCAAUUGCUACAGAACAUACCACCAUAUCAGUUAGGCAGCCACCACUCUUGUGUCCUUAUCCUUAUAUACGAUUGUGUUCAACAUGGGACAUGAUAUACUGCAAUAGGUUCCACAAGCUGGGGGUGGGGUCUCCAAACGUGUGUGGAGCCUGCAGAGGUAGGGACAGAGUUCCGGGCACACUUACUUUGCCGAGCAUCUAUGACUUGCAAGGAAAGACCUAAUUCGCACAUCUCACCUCCAGCACUUUCUUUUUAAGCCGCGCUUCCCAAGAAGAAUGGAAAAGUCAACUGGUGAAGAAUCGACUGCGCUGGAACAAGGGCUAACUGCUGCUAAUUCAUCUGAAGGAUAAUUGAGAAGUAUUUAUAAGUCUUCCUUCAUUAGGCCCCUAAAGGAGGCUGAACUACAUUAAGAGCCCAUCUUCCCAAUUGUGCUCUGAUACACCCAGACAGUUCUGGUUAAAAAUGAGUAACACUAAAUAAUGGGACUGAUUAUGCCAAGGUAAUUGGGGACUGACUGAUAAUGCAAAUCAGUAAGUCUUCCCUCUCCUCAAAUUCUUCAAGUAAAACACCUUUUCUGCCACCUUGAAAGCUAGUUAGCAAAUGAAAUAUUUACAACAUUAAGGACCAAUUCACUCAGGUAAGUAAAUAAUAGUGAAGCAAAUAAUUUUUCGUCUGCAUCUGAUUGUCUCAGAAGUCUCAUUUCCAAAUUAAAUACACAAGUCUCAGUUACUUCCUGGACACUCAUGGAAUAUUCAGUAAAUAAAUUUUAGAGUAGUGAUCUUGUUCAGUUGCUUUUUUU